ACUUUCUCAUACUGGUCCAUCCAGUCCAGGUAAAAUGCCUAGCUGUAAAUUCUGGUCUCCAAGUCAAGGCAGCUGUAACCUUGCUUCUUAAUGCGCAGGAUUGACAUCUUCAGUGGUCCAGAAGUAAUCAAACGGAGAUCUUCGAACAAACUCAGCUUGCAUUCAACCUCCGGACUGUCAAGAAAUGGAGGAAGCAAGAAAGCUAACAGGUUUUUUUUUUUUUUUUUGAAAAAAAAAUGAGAAUCACAAGGGAGAAGGGAGUGAUGCCUGCAGUAUAGCUAGGGUUUUGAAGGCUUGUGUGUUAUGCAGGGAGAUAGAGAGAGGGAGGGAGUGAGAGGUUGUGCAUCAGGGACCAGAGAAUCAGAAGAAAGAAAAAGAUAGGGCGUUACUUAAAAACGACUCACUCCUCAGUCAAGAUGGAAGCUUGCAAUUUGCAAAAGUAGAGAUUAGAGAACCAUUUCCAUGGGCCAAAAAGUACAUUAUGGCCCUUGAAUUAUGAUGGAAUGUUUAAUUCAGCCCUAAUACUUGCAUUCAAUAACACCUUUUUAUAUCUUAGCCAUUAAUUGAUCACGCGCUAUCGCAUGACUGGAUGCCAUUAUCUGAAACCG
rnacentral:misc_RNA from 1 species